CCUGUGCCUUCCUCCGCGCCUGCGGCGUGCUGUGCGCGAGACUGCGUCGCCUGGCGUCGAGCCACGGAGGAUGACAUUGAAGAACAAUUUGAAGUGAAAUGUAAUCCAGCUGAAGAUGGUAAAACCACUAUAGAGAAUAUGAAGUAGGUCUUCAUGGUUUCUAUUUAAAGACAGAGCCUAAAGACACACAUGUAAGGAACUUUGCUCUGCCUCCCUUCUGCUUUCUCACUGGUCAGCGGAGAGGAAUUAUUGUGCAGAAGAAUCUGAAAUGGGAGCCUGAGAAGAUGCUGUUGUGUAAGGUGUUUCUGGGACUCCAAGCCUACACGCUCAUUGGGGAACAGCACGAGGAGGAGAGAAAUUGUUCAAGCUAGCUAUCCCCUGGAAAGAAGGAAAUCGUGGCACAUCCAACUCCCCUCACCUGCCUAGAAUCCAGGGGAAAUGCAGUGGCCCUCGUCUUUUCUGGCUCUCCACAGAAGGAAUGUGGUUAGGAGCACAAGAGUUGUUCCUCUACACAGCUCCGCACUGUAUGUGCAUGUGCACAGUGAUACACAUACUUUGACUUUCUAAAAGCUUGCUUCUUUCAUACACAUUCCCUUGUCCUCAUUCUUUGCUCUGUGCCAUUUUUCAUCAUUCAAGAUGAUAAAUGCCACUUCACUGCAUCUUUUCAACAGCUAUGUUUGCAUUUAGUACUCAGAAGAAUAGAAAGAACAUUCUGCAAGGGACAAGUGGACAACAGGAUAGUGUGCUGCCUUUCUGGAGCCAGAACAUGAGAUGCCACAGUAAGAUUGAAUAGGCUUCUGAAAUUCAUGGGCAAGGACCCAUUGGUGAUGGUUCAUAUUGGCACUAAUGAUUUGAUCCCAGUCUAUAAGUACCUACAUGGAAAACAAAUAUUUGAUAAUGGGGUCAUCAAUCUAGUAGAGGAAGGUGUAAUACGAUCCAAUGGUUGGAAGCUGAAGCUAGACAAAUUCAGGCUGGAAAUAAGGUGUAAAUAUUUACAGUGAGAGCUUAACCACUGGAACAGUUUAUUGUGAGUUGUUAUGCAUUCUCCAUCACAGGCAAUUUUAAAAUCAAGAUUGGAUGUUUUUCUAUAAGAUAUCCUCUAGGAAUUAUUUUUGGGGAAGUUCUAUGGCCUGUGUUAUACAAGUGGUCAGACUGGAUGACCACAAUAGUCUCCUCUGGCUUUUGAAUCUAUGAAUCAAAACAUCCAAACAUCAUAAUAUGUGAAUUUCCCCCAUCUUUUUUUAUCUACUUUAACCACCAGUGCUGAGCCAGUAAACUCAUAGACAUUUCCAUUUUAUGUCUGAAGAAGCUAGAAGUGCUGAUCCAGUUACAAUGUUGAGGGAUGUCACUUGAUAUCAGACCAGGAAGUUUGAUGGUCUGAGCCAUCAACUCAGCCAAAGAACUCAUGGAAGUCUGGGCCCAAAAAUAUAAAGGACCCAAGUUGAAAAAGGGCUAAUG